UACUAGAGUAGCACUCGCAUAUCAAUAAGCGGAGGAAAAGAAACUAACAAGGAUUCUCUUAGUAACGGCGAGUGAAGCGGGAAGAGCUCAAAUUUGAAAUCUUCAAGGUUCUACCUUGACGAAUUGUAGUUUAUAGAAGUGUUUUCUGUUAGUAGGAGUGGCAAAAGUUCUUUGGAAUAGGACAUCAUAGAGGGUGAGAAUCCCGUAUUUGGUCAUUCCUUCCUAGCUUUGUGAUACACUUUCAACGAGUCGGAUUGUUUGGGAAUGCAGUCCAAAAUGGGUGGUAAAUUUCAUCUAAAGCUAAAUAUUGGCGAGAGACCGAUAGCGAACAAGUACCGUGAGGGAAAGAUGAAAAGAACUUUGAAAAGAGAGUUAAACAGUACGUGAAAUUGUCAAAAGGGAGGCGUUUGACACCAGUGUUGUUUUCUUGAAAAUCAAUUAAAAAUGGCGGGAUUUUGUGUUGUAUUGACUUUAUCAGCUUUCCUGCACUUUUUUCCUGUCUUUUUUAAUGCACUUUUCGUUUAACAAGUCAACAUCAAUUUCCUUUUGUUGUAAAAGGGUCAUUGGAAGGUGGCUUUCUUUUCGGAGAAAGUGUUUAUAGCCUUUGAUCUCUGCAAUCGGAGAGACUGAGGUCUGCAGCGUAGAUCCUUCGGGGUUAGAUACAUUUGUGCUAAGUUAUAGCUUUUCAUAGACAACUUGUUGACUAUGAUUUAGUCAUGUAGCUUACUCGCUUAUGCUAUUUUACCUACGCUUAGGAUGUUGAAGAUGUAGCACAUCAU
rnacentral:rRNA from 1 species